UUUAAUUCGACGCAACGCGAAGAACCUUACCAGGUCUUGACAUCCCUCUGACCGCUCUAGAGAUAGAGUUUUCCUUCGGGACAGAGGUGACAGGUGGUGCAUGGUUGUCGUCAGCUCGUGUCGUGAGAUGUUGGGUUAAGACCCGCAACGAGCGCAACCCCUAUUGUUAGUUGCCAUCAUUCAGUUGGGCACUCUAGCGAGGCUGCCGGUAAUAAACCGGAGGAAGGUGGGGAUGACGUCAAAUCAUCAUGCCCCUUAUGACCUGGGCUACACACGUGCUACAAUGGCUGGUACAACGAGUCGCAAGCCGGUGACGGCAAGCUAAUCUCUGAAAGCCAGUCUCAGUUCGGAUUGUAGGCUGCAACUCGCCUACAUGAAGUCGGAAUCGCUAGUAAUCGCGGAUCAGCGCGCCG
rnacentral:rRNA from 1 species